rnacentral:rRNA from 1 species
GACGAACGCUGGCGGCGUGCUUAACACAUGCAAGUCGAACGGAAAGGCCCUGCUUUUGUGGGGUGCUCGAGUGGCGAACGGGUGAGUAACACGUGAGUAACCUGCCCUUGACUUUGGGAUAACUUCAGGAAACUGGGGCUAAUACCGGAUAGGAGCUCCUGCUGCAUGGUGGGGGUUGGAAAGUUUCGGCGGUUGGGGAUGGACUCGCGGCUUAUCAGCUUGUUGGUGGGGUAGUGGCUUACCAAGGCUUUGACGGGUAGCCGGCCUGAGAGGGUGACCGGCCACAUUGGGACUGAGAUACGGCCCAGACUCCUACGGGAGGCAGCAGUGGGGAAUAUUGCACAAUGGGCGGAAGCCUGAUGCAGCAACGCCGCGUGCGGGAUGACGGCCUUCGGGUUGUAAACCGCUUUCGCCUGUGACGAAGCGUGAGUGACGGUAAUGGGUAAAGAAGCACCGGCUAACUACGUGCCAGCAGCCGCGGUGAUACGUAGGGUGCGAGCGUUGUCCGGAUUUAUUGGGCGUAAAGGGCUCGUAGGUGGUUGAUCGCGUCGGAAGUGUAGUCUUGGGGCUUAACCCUGAGCGUACUUUCGAUACGGGUUGACUUGAGGAAGGUAGGGGAGAAUGGAAUUCCUGGUGGAGCGGUGGAAUGCGCAGAUAUCAGGAGGAACACCAGUGGCGAAGGCGGUUCUCUGGGCCUUUCCUGACGCUGAGGAGCGAAAGCGUGGGGAGCGAACAGGCUUAGAUACCCUGGUAGUCCACGCUGUAAACGGUGGGUACUAGGUGUGGGGUCCAUUCCACGGGUUCCGUGCCGUAGCUAACGCUUUAAGUACCCCGCCUGGGGAGUACGGCCGCAAGGCUAAAACUCAAAGGAAUUGACGGGGCCCCGCACAAGCGGCGGAGCAUGCGGAUUAAUUCGAUGCAACGCGUAGAACCUUACCUGGGUUUGACAUGGAUCGGGAGUGCUCAGAGAUGGGUGUGCCUCUUUUGGGGUCGGUUCACAGGUGGUGCAUGCCUGUCGUCAGCUCGUGUCGUGAGAUGUUGGGUUAAGUCCCGCAACGAGCGCAACCCUUGUUCACUGUUGCCAGCACGUUAUGGUGGGGACUCAGUGGAGACCGCCGGGGUCAACUCGGAGGAAGGUGGGGAUGACGUCAAGUCAUCAUGCCCCUUAUGUCCAGGGCUUCACGCAUGCUACAAUGGCUGGUACAGAGAGUGGCGAGCCUGUGAGGGUGAGCGAAUCUCGGGAAGCCGGUCUCAGUUCGGAUUGGGGUCUGCAACUCGACCUCAUGAAGUCGGAGUCGCUAGUAAUCGCAGAUCAGCAACGCUGCGGUGAAUACGUUCCCGGGGCU